GAGCGGCGGCUCAUUUAAGCUGGAGCGGAGCGCCGCGUGCCGGCCGCCUGGCCAGUGCGCACGCGCCGCCCCGCCCGCCCUCGCCUUCUCUAGCCGGCUUCGCGGGC
rnacentral:miRNA from 1 species